CGGCUGAACCAGCAAUUUGGAAGAAUGUAUAGCUAAAGCUAGUCAACCUUUAUAGGAAGAUAUCGAUUUACUCGAAUAAAAUUCUGGGUAGAAUUAUGAUAAUGACAUAUUCUAUUUAUAAGUCUUGACAAAUCUACGUGCCAGCAGUCGCGGUAAUACGUAUAAGGCUAGCGUUAUUCAUCUUUAAUGGGUUUAAAGGGUACCUAGACAGUUUAUUAAGCCUGAAAAAGGAACUAAUUUACUAGAGUUAUAAGUGAAGGGGCUUAUAAGUACUAGUGGUGUAGAGAUAAUAUUCUAUGAUACCUUGCUCCGACAGGAGUGUACACGGCACAGAUUAAGGCGUAAGCAUCCUCUUAUAUAAUAACUGACGUUGAGGGACGAAGGCUUCAUAUAACAAAAAGGAUUAGAUACCCUCGUAGUUGAAAGCAGAAAAUAAUGAAUGCCGUGGAGUAGAUGAAGAAAAAUUUUGCUCUAUAAAUGAUAAUUUAAGCAUUCCACCUCAAGAGUAAUUUGGCAACAUUGGAACUGAAAUCAUUAGACCGUUUCUGAAACCAGUAGUGGAGUAUGUUGUUUAAUUUGAUAAUCCGCAAAAAACCUUACCAAAACUAGUUCAAGUUGUAAAGCAACUUUAACAGGUGCACUAUUCACCUUGAAUAUUUAUGUAUGAGUUACACACACAUAUAUAAUUACAUGUGUUGCACGGCUGUCUUCAGUUGAUGUCGUGAGAUUUUGGUUAGAUCCAUUAAAUCAGCGUAAGCCCUUGCUUUAUUUUUAAAUAAAGUAGUUCUCCGUUACACUGGAUAAGAUAACAGGG
rnacentral:rRNA from 1 species